UACGGGGGGAGCAAGCGUUGUUCGGAUUUACUGGGCGUAAAGGGCGCGUAGGCGGUCAGCACAAGUCAGUUGUGAAAUCUCCGGGCUUAACUCGGAAAGGUCAACUGAUACUGUGCGACUAGAGUGCAGAAGGGGCAACUGGAAUUCUCGGUGUAGCGGUGGAAUGCGUAGAGAUCGGGAAGAACAUCAGUGGCGAAGGCGGCCUGCUGGGCUGUUGCUGACGCUGAGGCGCGACAGCGUGGGGAGCAAACAGG
rnacentral:rRNA from 1 species